AGGCGUAAGUCACCAGUAAGAUGUGCAGGUGUAAAGCCUGUGCCUUGUAACUGCAACCCUCCAGUGCCCACAGUAUCUUCCAGAGGACAAGAACAAGCCGUAAGAAAGAGCGAAAAGGAAAGGAUGAGAGAAUACCAACAAGAACUAGAAGAAAGAGAAGAAAAAUUAAAAAAGAGGCCACUGCUAUUUGAAAGAGUUGCUCAGGUUGUGUUUAUUGGAAUUUAAGAGCUAUUGUCAGUUUUUUUGUUUUGUUUUGUUUUGUUUUGUUUUUACAGCUUUAGCUCCUAAAUUUACAGUCCAUUUUUCUUAUGUGUUAUGUAACUGUUGAGAUACAUUAUUGUUGUUUGUGUUGGCUUCAUCAUAUCAGCCAAUGAGUAAUUUUGCUUAAAUCUGAGCAUUUAGCCAGGUGUAGUGGUGUGCACCUGUAGUCCCAGCUACUUGGGAGGCUGAAGUGGGCAGAUUACUUGAGCCCAAGAGUUUUGGUCCAACCUGUGCAAUGUAGCAAGACCUCAUCUCAAAAAAAUAAUCUGAACAUUGAAUCUUUUUGAUGAAGCACAUAAGUUUGAUAAAUAACAUGUCAAUCCAGUAGUUCGUAAAAUAAUUUUGCAAGCUGGUUUCUAAUGGCUGGUCUUUUUUCAGUACAAACUUGGUUAGAUAUUAAAAUGAGGCUUCAUGAUAUCACUUGGAGGUCUUUGAAGAAUUAAAAAAAUGAAAC
rnacentral:sRNA from 1 species